UUUUUUUUUUUUUUGGUUUUGGUUUUGGUUUUUCGAGACAGGGUUUCUCUGUAUAGCCCUAGCUGUCCUGAAACUCACUUUGUAGACCAGGCUGGCCUCGAACUCAGAAAUCUGCCUGCCUCCGCCUCCCGAGUGCUGGGAUUAAAGGCAUGUGCCACCACACCUGUCCACUGGCCUCUUCUUAAUCACCACUAAUUUCUUAGCUCCAGCUAACCAGCAUCAAUUGUCCCAGUAGUCCCUUUUAUUCUGGACUCUAAAACCAGAGCCAUGUGGCCAAAGCUGGGGCUGGAACAUGCCCCCAUUGUUCUGUUAUAUUAUCACCAGCUUUCUGUUUUCCAAAUCCUUCAUUGCCUAAGCUUGGCUGCCCUGGAACUUGCUUCAUAGACUGACUUUGAACUCAGAGAUCUGCUUGUCUUUGCCUCCUGGGUUUAAAGGGUUGUACUAUCAUGUCUGGACCUAAAUUUAGCUGGGGGGGAAUCUUUCCCCCAAGGACACUAUUCCCUUAAUUCAAUUUAUCCUUGAACGUAGGAUUCAGCUCCAUUUCACUUCUGGUGCCCCGUUAAUACCAUAUAUUUUAUAUUUUUCCUUUCUCAGUUUGCUCUGCUUGUUUAUAAUGCUCUUCAUGAGACUUAACCAAAGAACAAAGUCUCUGCUGGUUUUUGUUUUUUUUGAGACUUCCUUUGUCAAUGCAGUUAAUAUAAAUCUCUUCACCUUAGCCUCAGGUAGACUCUUCAGACAAGGGCAAAAGCAGCCACAUUCUUCACCAAAAUACCACAAAAACAGUCUCUAGGCCAUGUACUGAAAUUCUUCUCCUCUAAAACCUCUUGGGCCAGAUCUGUACAGUUCAAAUCACUCACAGCAACAAAGUCUUCCGUAUUUCUGCUAGGAUAGCCCAUUGAGCCGUACUUAAAACAUUCCAUGGCUUUCCAACUCCAAAGUACCUGAAUCCACAUUCUUUAAAAAAAAAAAAAAAAGCAUGGCCAGGCCUAUCACUGCAAUAACCCCAGACCUUGGUACCAACCUCUGUCUUAGUUAACUGGUAUGAACAGACACCAUGAACAAGGCAAGUCUUAUAAAUUACAACAUGGGCUGGCUUAUAGGUUCAGAGAGUCAGUCAUUAUCACCAGGGAGGGAACAUGGCAGCAUCUGGCAGGCAUGGUGCAGGAGGAGCUGAGAGUUCUACAUCUUCAUCUGAAAGCUGCUAGCAGAAUACUGGCUUCCAGGCAGCUAGGAUGAGAGUCUUAAAGCCUGCACCCACAGUGGCACACCUACUCCAACAGGGCCACACAUUCUAAUAGUAUCACUCCUGGGCUGAACAUAUGUAAAUGAUUACAUUGUCAGUCUUCUUUUCAAAAAUACUCUCAGAUUUAUUUAGGACAUUUUUAUCUUCUACUCUCUUUAUAUUUAAUAGUAACCAAUAGUCCAUAUGCACCUGGUUAACCAAAGGGUAACUUUUGUAUUCAAUUUUUUUUAUAUUUUGAACUUAUAUUUUUUAUAUUCUGAAAGGAUUGUCUGUUUUAUUUUAAUGUUUUCUCUGUCAAGAAACCUUCAUUUUUCUCUAACUCAGUAAUAUCAACUUUUAAAGCAGGUAGCAAUUUGUUUCUUUCUAAAUGCAUUUUAAUGUCAUAUAGAUUUUUGUUUUUAUAUAUUUUGGGAAUUAUGAGAACCUAAUAAGAUGAUAUCACUGUUCUUCUCUACUCCUGAUACUCUCAAUAUUAUAAUUAUAUUGCACAUAGUAAAUGUUCCAUAAAUUCUUGAUCUGAAUUGUUUUUAGGCUUGAAAACCACUUUAUAACUUAGCUGUGUAUGCGUAAUCACCCCCAUGAAGCAGAGACCUUCAAUAUAAAGAGUUCUAUUUUGGUGCUGGCAAGAUGGCUCAAUAGGGGAAGACAAUGUUGUACCCACGUUCAAUCACUGGAACCCACUUAAAGGUGGAAAGAGGAGAAAAAUAUGCUGUGGCACAUGGGCUCACACACAUCAUAUAAACACUAAACAUUAAUAAACAUUUUUAAGAACAGAUUUCCUGGGGCUGGAGAGUUGGCUCAGUGGUCAAGAGCACUGCUUGCUCUUGCAGAGGACCCAAGUUUGGCUCACAACCAUCUGUAACUCCAGUUCCAGGAGACCUGAUGCCCUCUUCUGACCUCUACAACCACUGUGUGUGUAUGUGAUGCACCCAAGUGUGCAUCUCACACACACACACACACACACACACACACACACAAACACACAGGUAAAACGCUCAUACAAAUCAAAUCAAGUAAAAUGAAUCUAUAAACAAAAUUUUAGAAAACAGAUUUUCUUUUCACCAUAUUUCAUUUGUGAAGAUCCAAUUCCAAUUCUUAACUAUAAUUCUAUAUUUAUCCUUUACUGGCCUCAUAUUUUCUUUAGCACUGGAAGAAAUGUAUAGAACAAAAAAGUCAAAUUAUAAGUGACUCUUUAACAUAUAGAAGAGCUUCUGUUUGCUAUAGG
rnacentral:lncRNA from 1 species